GACGAACGCUGGCGGCGUGCCUAAUACAUGCAAGUCGAACGCUGAAGGAGGAGCUUGCUUCUCUGGAUGAGUUGCGAACGGGUGAGUAACGCGUAGGUAACCUGCCUGGUAGCGGGGGAUAACUAUUGGAAACGAUGGCUAAUACCGCAUAAUAGUAGAUGUCGCAUGACAUUUGCUUAAAAGGUGCAAUUGCAUCACUACCAGAUGGACCUGCGUUGUAUUAGCUAGUUGGUGAGGUAACGGCUCACCAAGGCAACGAUACAUAGCCGACCUGAGAGGGUGAUCGGCCACACUGGGACUGAGACACGGCCCAGACUCCUACGGGAGGCAGCAGUAGGGAAUCUUCGGCAAUGGACGGAAGUCUGACCGAGCAACGCCGCGUGAGUGAAGAAGGUUUUCGGAUCGUAAAGCUCUGUUGUAAGAGAAGAACGAGUGUGAGAGUGGAAAGUUCACACUGUGACGGUAUCUUACCAGAAAGGGACGGCUAACUACGUG
rnacentral:rRNA from 1 species